rnacentral:rRNA from 1 species
AACGAACGCUGGCGGCGUGCCUAACACAUGCAAGUCGAACGUGAUUGAAGAGCUUGCUCUUCAUGAAAGUGGCGCACGGGUGAGUAACGCGUAGGUAAUCUACCUGGUGAUUUGGGAUAACAGUUCGAAAGGACUGCUAAUACCGAAUAAGCCCACGGAGUCUUUGGAUUCUGCGGGAAAAGGGGGGGACCUUAUGGCCUUCCGUCAUCAGAUGAGUCUGCGUACCAUUAGCUAGUUGGUAGGGUAAAGGCCUACCAAGGCGACGAUGGUUAGCUGGUCUGGGAGGAUGAUCAGCCACACUGGAACUGAGACACGGUCCAGACUCCUACGGGAGGCAGCAGUGGGGAAUUUUGCGCAAUGGGGGAAACCCUGACGCAGCAACGCCGCGUGAGUGAUGAAGGCCCUUGGGUCGUAAAGCUCUGACAGAGGGAAAGAAAUGCAGGGGAGCUAAUAUCUCCUUUGCUUGACGGUACCCUCAAAGGAAGCACCGGCUAACUCCGUGCCAGCCGCCGCGGUAAGAC